rnacentral:rRNA from 1 species
CCUACGGGUGGCUGCAGUGGGGAAUAUUGCACAAUGGGGGAAACCCUGAUGCAGCGACGCCGCGUGAGCGAUGAAGUAUUUCGGUAUGUAAAGCUCUAUCAGCAGGGAAGAAAAUGACGGUACCUGACUAAGAAGCCCCGGCUAACUACGUGCCAGCAGCCGCGGUAAUACGUAGGGGGCAAGCGUGAUCCGGAUUUACUGGGUGUAAAGGGAGCGUAGACGGCGAUGCAAGCCAGAUGUGAAAGCCCGGGGCGCAACCCCGGGACUGCAUUUGGAACUGUAUAGCUGGAGUGUCGGAGAGGCAGGCGGAAUUCCGAGGGUAGCGGUGAAAGGCGUAGAGAUUAGGAGGAACACCAGUGGCGAAGGCGGCCUGCUGGACGAUGACUGACGUUGAGGCUCGAAAGCGUGGGGAGCAAACAGGAUUAGAUACCCGGGUAGUC